GAUGAACGCUGGCGGCGUGCUUAACACAUGCAAGUCGAACGGAAAGGCCCAAGCUUGCUUGGGUACUCGAGUGGCGAACGGGUGAGUAACACGUGGGUGAUCUGCCCUGCACUUCGGGAUAAGCCUGGGAAACUGGGUCUAAUACCGGAUAGGACGAUGGUUUGGAUGCCAUUGUGGAAAGUUUUUUCGGUGUGGGAUGAGCUCGCGGCCUAUCAGCUUGUUGGUGGGGUAAUGGCCUACCAAGGCGUCGACGGGUAGCCGGCUGAGAGGGUGUACGGCCACAUUGGGACUGAGAUACGGCCCAGACUCCUACGGGAGGCAGCAGUGGGGAAUAUUGCACAAUGGGCGCAAGCCUGAUGCAGCGACGCCGCGUGGGGGAUGACGGCCUUCGGGUUGUAAACUCCUUUCGCUAGGGACGAAGCGUCUUUGUGACGGUACCUGGAGAAGAAGCACCGGCUAACUACGUG
rnacentral:rRNA from 1 species